rnacentral:rRNA from 1 species
AUUGAACGCUGGCGGCAGGCCUAACACAUGCAAGUCGAACGAGUGGCGGACUGGUUAUUACUUUCUGGACAACUGCCCGAUGGAGGGUGAUAACUACUGGCACCGGUAGCUAAUACCUCAUACCAUCUGAUGUUCCCCGAUUGGAUUAGCUAGUAGGUGGGGUGACGGCUCACCUAGUCGAUGCUCCCUUGCUUGUCUGAGAGGAUGACCAGCCACACUGGAACUGAGAAACGGUCCAGACUCCUACGGGAGGCAGCAGUGGGGAAGAGUGCACAAUGGGCGAAAGCCUGAUGCAGCCAUGCCGCGGGGAUGAAGAAGGCCUUAGGGUUGUAAAGUACGUUCAGCGAGGAGGCGUUACUCGCAGAAGAAGCACCGGCUAACUCCGUGCCAGCAGCCGCGGUAAUAC